rnacentral:rRNA from 1 species
UACGUAGGGUCCGAGCGUUGUCCGGAGUUACUGGGCGUAAAGGGCGCGCAGGUGGCGGUGUUGGCCCGGCGUGAAAGCCCCCGGCUCAACCGGGGAGGGUCGUCGGGGACCGCACCGCUUGAGGGCGGUAGGGGCUGGUGGAAUGCCUGGUGUAGUGGUGAAAUGCGUAGAGAUCAGGCGGAACACCCGUAGCGAAGGCGGCCAGCUGGGCCGUCCCUGACACUGAGGCGCGAAGGCGUGGGGGAGCGAACGGG